GACGAAGGUGGCGAGCGUUAUUCGGAUUUACUGGGCAUAAAGCGCGCGUAGGCGGCUCGGUCAGUCGGAGGUGAAAGCCCACAGCUCAACUGUGGAACUGCCCCCGAUACUGCCGAGCUUGAGUGCAGGAGGGGUGACCGGAACUCCAGGUGGAGCGGUGAAAUGCGUAGAUAUCUGGAGGAACACCAGAGGCGAAGGCGGGUCACUGGACUGCAACUGACGCUGAGGUGCGAAAGCUAGGGGAGCGAACAGG
rnacentral:misc_RNA from 1 species